CCGGGGCCGACUCUGGAUGGACUGCCGGCGACAAGCCGGAGGAAGGUGGGGAGUGACGUCAAGUCAUCAUGGCCCUUAUGUCCAGGGCGACACACGUGCUACAAUGGCCGGCACAGCGGGAAGCGAGGGGGCGACCUUGAGCGGAUCCCUCAAAGCCGGUCUCAGUUCGGAUUGCAGUCUGCAACUCGACUGCAUGAAGUUGGAAUCGCUAGUAAUCGUGGAUCAGCCAAGCCGCGGUGAAUACGUUCCCGGGCCUU
rnacentral:rRNA from 1 species